CCACCUGGGAAGCAUUGCUGGUAUCCAGUUUAUGGAUGAAGAGAUUGAGGCCUGGGGGGACAAUGGAAUGAGGUGUAUGCAAGGAUCUGCAUCCAGCUCCCGAGUCUGAUGAGUUCUGGCAGUGGCUCCAGGGAAAGGAGGAGUCCAGGAACAGAGCUGGUGGGGGAGGCGCUCCCAGGAGUGGCCUUCCCAACAGCAGGUGCUGCACUCCUGCUGCCACUGAGGAGUCACACGUUCCCUCUUCUGAAGGACUCUCCCCUAUUUCUGCCCCUCCCCAAAAGGUGCCUUGAGCUGUCCAGAAGAGACAAACCGAAGCCCUGCACUGGAAGGGAGGAAAAGAGAGAGGAACCCCUCCCCCCAGCAAGGAGCGGAGUUAGCUGAAAACUGCACCGAUCCCCUCUUGGGCUCUUCCUUGGCUGCUGCCCCUUCGGCGCAACUGCCCUUCCUCUUGGGCUUCGGCAGUGGGAAGAGAGCGAGCCGGGUGCUUUUGAGCUGCAGUGCGCGGAGAGGCUUCGCGAGGCUGGGCUCAGUAUUCGUUAAUGAUCAAACAAUUAUUUAUGUUGACAGCCCACAUCUCCCUUUCCGUAGUUUCCAUCUGAAGACUUAGCUCUACCCUUCUGGUGCAGAACAGGAAAGCCUAAUCUGUCUUCCCUGAGAUUCAAGAAAUUCAAGAGGCUGCUCCUCCUGGGGCCUCUGUCGGUAUCCUCCUUGUUGCUCCUAGUUAAACUCUUAUUCCUCAGGUAAGAUGGUGCUGAGUCUACUCACCAUCGGACUGUGGUGUCUAGUAUUGGACACCACAUCCCUGAUGUGCCCUGACACCUCAGUGCUCUCCCACAUAGAACCUAGUGGGCACUGUGUCCCCGCAUCUAUCUGAAGAACUGCUCAAGAGGCUUUGUGGGAGGUCUAGCUCCUCCUCACCCCCUCCAGGCUUGACAUGCCUCCACCCCCACCACCCCGUACCCUUCGCAGCAUACUUCCAGUCAGGCAGCAAUCAGCUUGCACCUGAGAGGGAUCAGCUGUGGUGACUGAGGCUGGCUUGCUCUUGCAGCCCCAGGAACACAGAGAUUCGUGCUGAAGAACCAAAUGGUUUCUACAGUACAAGCAGGCGCCAGGGACUCCGCAGGAGGCAUCACUGGCACCUUCUAAUUGAUGAGCAGUCCAGCUCUGAAGCUGUGGGCUCUAAAGCCAGAUACCUCCUCCAGGUGACUCUGAUCUUCCUCUCCCAGCUGAAUAGAGUGAACUUCAGCGUUUCUGGCCUCCAGUUCCUGAACUCUGCUUCUUCCAAGGCAGCUGCAUAGGUCAUCAAAGAGCUGGAAGCCAAGCACCCUCCUCCAUGUUCUUUCUACUGUACCACGUGGCUUGUGUCGAUACAGACCCUUGGGCUGGACCAAUCCUGGAAGAUCAAGAGCUGACUGGGCCAAGGAGAUGCCAUGAGAUGCAUGCUGAGGCUUCCAGAGGAGACUCUUCCACUCCUGCCAGCUAGACUUGAAGCUGGGAAGAUGGGAUCCUGGAGGCAGGAAGCCAUCUAUCCACCAUGUGGAGCCUAAAUCAACAAGGUAGAACCCAGAGAAGGAAGAAAUUGAGUCCUGAUGAUACCAUUUGAUGCCUGAAUCCAGCUGUACCUGAAACUAGAUUUAUUCCCUGGAACUUUCAGUUUUGAAAGCUGAUAAAUUCCUUUUGCACUUAAGUCAUUUUUGAAUUAGAAUUCCUGUCUCUGGCAACUGAAAAAAUCUCAACUGAAAUGCCUGGACAAGAGACAGAGCACUGCAGUCACCUUUACCAAUCAUUAGGCUGGCAUUCCCACUUUACAAUGUGACUUUUGAACCUGGUUAUGUGAGUUUGCUGCUGAAAAAUGACUUUGGGGUGCACUGCAAAAUUUCACUUGCUAAACUCAGAUGGCUGAGAACCUGGCUGGGGUACAACCCACCCAUGAAAGACACUUCUUGAGAACUUGGUUGGGGUAUAACCCAUCUAUGAAAGUCCCUUCCCGAGUGGCCAUUUCUGGCACUGAGUGACAUCUCUGUGGUCACUGUGGUUGGUACCUUAUUUGUGUCUUCUAAUCACCAAUGUGUCCCUGUGAACCCCCAUCCUUCAUGACAGGGCUGGGGAAGACAGCAAGUACUAGCUCACAUAUCACUCAUCCCUUUAUUCAUUCAGGCAUUCUUU
rnacentral:lncRNA from 10 species